CCUACGGGGGGCAGCAGUGGGGAAUUUUGGGCAAUGGGCGAAAGCCUGACCCAGCAACGCCGCGUGAAGGAUGAAGUAUUUCGGUAUGUAAACUUCGAAAGAAUAGGAAGAAUAAAUGACGGUACUAUUUAUAAGGUCCGGCUAACUACGUGCCAGCAGCCGCGGUAAUACGUAGGGACCAAGCGUUGUUCGGAUUUACUGGGCGUAAAGGGCGCGUAGGCGGCUCUGUAAGUCACUUGUGAAAUCUCUGAGCUUAACUCAGAACGGCCAAGUGAUACUGCAGAGCUAGAGUGUAGAAGGGGCAAUCGGAAUUCUUGGUGUAGCGGUGAAAUGCGUAGAUAUCAAGAGGAACACCUGAGGUGAAGACGGGUUGCUGGUCUAACACUGACGCUGAGGCGCGAAAGCCAGGGGAGCAAACGGGCUUAGAUACCCCGGUAGUC
rnacentral:rRNA from 1 species